GUCGAGCGAACAGAUGAGAAGCUUGCUUCUCUGAUGUUAGCGGCGGACGGGUGAGUAACACGUGGGUAACCUACCUAUAAGACUGGGAUAACUCCGGGAAACCGGGGCUAAUACCGGAUAAUAUUUUGAACCGCAUGGUUCAAUAGUGAAAGACGGUUUCGGCUGUCACUUAUAGAUGGACCCGCGCCGUAUUAGCUAGUUGGUAAGGUAACGGCUUACCAAGGCGACGAUACGUAGCCGACCUGAGAGGGUGAUCGGCCACACUGGAACUGAGACACGGUCCAGACUCCUACGGGAGGCAGCAGUAGGGAAUCUUCCGCAAUGGGCGAAAGCCUGACGGAGCAACGCCGCGUGAGUGAUGAAGGUCUUCGGAUCGUAAAACUCUGUUGUUAGGGAAGAACAAAUUUGUUAGUAACUGAACAAGUCUUGACGGUACCUAACCAGAAAGCCACGGCUAACUACGUGCCAGCAGCCGCGGUAAUACGUAGGUGGCAAGCGUUAUCCGGAAUUAUUGGGCGUAAAGCGCGCGUAGGCGGUUUCUUAAGUCUGAUGUGAAAGCCCACGGCUCAACCGUGGAGGGUCAUUGGAAACUGGGAAACUUGAGUGCAGAAGAGGAGAGUGGAAUUCCAUGUGUAGCGGUGAAAUGCGCAGAGAUAUGGAGGAACACCAGUGGCGAAGGCGGCUCUCUGGUCUGUAACUGACGCUGAUGUGCGAAAGCGUGGGGAUCAAACAGGAUUAGAUACCCUGGUAGUCCACGCCGUAAACGAUGAGUGCUAAGUGUUAGGGGGUUUCCGCCCCUUAGUGCUGCAGCUAACGCAUUAAGCACUCCGCCUGGGGAGUACGACCGCAAGGUUGAAACUCAAAGGAAUUGACGGGGACCCGCACAAGCGGUGGAGCAUGUGGUUUAAUUCGAAGCAACGCGAAGAACCUUACCAAAUCUUGACAUCCUUUGACCGCUCUAGAGAUAGAGUCUUCCCCUUCGGGGGACAAAGUGACAGGUGGUGCAUGGUUGUCGUCAGCUCGUGUCGUGAGAUGUUGGGUUAAGUCCCGCAACGAGCGCAACCCUUAAGCUUAGUUGCCAUCAUUAAGUUGGGCACUCUAGGUUGACUGCCGGUGACAAACCGGAGGAAGGUGGGGAUGACGUCAAAUCAUCAUGCCCCUUAUGAUUUGGGCUACACACGUGCUACAAUGGAUAAUACAAAGGGCAGCGAAUCCGCGAGGCCAAGCAAAUCCCAUAAAAUUAUUCUCAGUUCGGAUUGUAGUCUGCAACUCGACUACAUGAAGCUGGAAUCGCUAGUAAUCGUAGAUCAGCAUGCUACGGUGAAUACGUUCCCGGGUCUGUACACACCGCCCGUCACACCACGAGAGUUUGUAACACCCGAAGCCGGUGGAGUAACCUUU
rnacentral:rRNA from 2 species